AACGAACGCUGGCGGCAGGCCUAACACAUGCAAGUCGAGCGCCCCGCAAGGGGAGCGGCGGACGGGUGAGUAACGCGUGGGAACGUGCCUCUUGCUUCGGAAUAGCCUCGGGAAACUGGGGGUAAUACCGAAUGUGCCCUACGGGGGAAAGAUUUAUCGGGGAAGGAUUGGCCCGCGUUGGAUAAGCUAGUUGGUGGGGUAAAGGCCUACCAAGGCGACGAUCCAUAGCUGGUCUGAGAGGAUGAUCAGCCACAUUGGGACUGAGACACGGCCCAAACUCCUACGGGAGGCAGCAGUGGGGAAUAUUGGACAAUGGGCGCAAGCCUGGUCCAGCCAUGCCGCGUGAGUGAUGAAGGCCCUAGGGUUGUAAAGCUCUUUCACCGGAGAAGAUAAUGACGGUAUCCGGAGAAGAAGCCCCGGCUAACUUCGUGCCAGCCGCCGCGGUAACAC
rnacentral:rRNA from 1 species